rnacentral:tRNA from 1 species
GCCUGGGUGGCUCAGUCGGUUAAGCGUCUGACUUCAGCUCAGGUCACAAUCUCACAGUUCGUGAGUUCGAGCCCCACAUCGGGCU